GGACUCUUUGUUAAGGAACAAAAAGGUCUUGAAAACCUUUUAAGCUUACUCGAUAUAAGCAAGAGUUUA
rnacentral:tRNA from 1 species